UGCGCCCAUGAGCCUACGAGUAGGCCGGCGAAAGUGACCUGGCCCACCACAGCUUACUGGAGCGGUGGAGCCCAAAAAGGGAACAACGAGACACCUCCCUCUCCCUCUCCGGAAUCACGGCACCCACCGGCCCGGACACCACUCCCUCCCCUAUCAUCGCCCUCGCCGAAGAAGGGGGCGCGAGACGGAGAUCGUCUUCUCCGGCACCGGUGUACAGCAAACGUAUUCCCUUUUAGCUACUAAGAUGGUGGAGGAGACAGAUGGACCAGCAGGUUGCGGAUGGGGAGGAGUUGAUGAGGGCAUGUUCCCGGCGCCCUCUGACGCGGCCGACCUUAUGCACUUCGUGGCAACAACUGGAGCUCUCCCUGGCGGCCGAGAGGUCGAGGAUGCCCGCCGGAACUGCUCUCCCCAUGCCGCCGCCGCUGGCGACCAGGACGACUGCUCUCCCCAGGGGGAGGAAGGCUCCACUCCUGGGACAGACGAGGAAGCGGUGUCCCCAGGCUACUCCAAGAGGGUCAGGGGCGCGAACAUGCCGUGAUGAACGCGUGGGGGCGAGAAUUCAAUUAGGAAUGCGCCUACCGCUGGCUAGGGGGAAAACAUCUUUGAGCCGUCGGUUGGAACUGAGUUCAAUUCGUUAGCAGAGGCUCAGAUAUUCUACACCUUGUAUUCAUAGGAAGCAGGUCUUAUGGGUGCCUUGUUGAGGAACGCCUCAGCUGUUAUGGGUGUGUUGCUCUGUUGUUAAACACUUGAUUGUCUGUACAUGUUUCCCAACCUGUUACAUAUGUUUGUGUUUGGCAAAUUGUUGCCUGACCUUUAUAUAUUGCAUGCGUUUGCCGCUGCUUGUGUGUA